rnacentral:rRNA from 1 species
CCUACGGGUGGCUGCAGUGGGGAAUAUUGGACAAUGGGGGGAACCCUGAUCCAGCCAUGCCGCGUGUGUGAAGAAGGCCCUCGGGUUGUAAAGCACUUUCAGUGAGGAAGAACGCCUGGUGGUUAAUACCCAUCAGGAAAGACAUCACUCACAGAAGAAGCACCGGCUAACUCCGUGCCAGCAGCCGCGGUAAUACGGAGGGUGCGAGCGUUAAUCGGAAUUACUGGGCGUAAAGCGCGCGUAGGUGGCUUGAUAAGCCGGUUGUGAAAGCCCCGGGCUCAACCUGGGAACGGCAUCCGGAACUGUCAAGCUAGAGUGCAGGAGAGGAAGGUAGAAUUCCCGGUGUAGCGGUGAAAUGCGUAGAGAUCGGGAGGAAUACCAGUGGCGAAGGCGGCCUUCUGGACUGACACUGACACUGAGGUGCGAAAGCGUGGGUAGCAAACAGGAUUAGAUACCCCAGUAGUC